AGUGAACGCUGGCGGUAUGCCUAACACAUGCAAGUCGAACGGCAGCACAGUAAGCGCUUGCUCCUACGGGUGGCGAGUGGCGGACGGGUGAGGAAUACAUCGGCAUCUUCUUUUUCGUGGGUGAUAACGUAGGGAAACAUACGCUAAUACCGCAUACGACCUACGGGUGAAAGCAGGGGAUCUUCGGACCCUGCGCGAUUCUAUUAGCCGAUGCCGGAUUAGCUAGUUGGCGGGGUAAAGGCCCACCAAGGCGACGAUCCGUAGCUGGUCUGAGAGGAUGAUCAGCCACACUGGAACUGAGACACGGUCCAGACUCCUACGGGAGGCAGCAGUGGGGAAUAUUGGACAAUGGGCGCAAGCCUGAUCCAGCCAUACCGCGUGGGUGAAGAAGGCCUUCGGGUUGUAAAGCCCUUUUGUUGGGAAAGAAAAGCAGCAGGUUAAUACCCCGCUGUUCUGACGGUACCCAAAGAAUAAGCACCGGCUAACUUCGUG
rnacentral:rRNA from 1 species